rnacentral:rRNA from 1 species
UACGGAGGGUGCAAGCGUUGUUCGGAGUUACUGGGCGUAAAGGGUGCGUAGGCGGUUGUUUAAGUUUGGUGUGAAAUCUCCCGGCUCAACUGGGAGGGUGCGCCGAAUACUGAAUGACUAGAGUGCGGGAGAGGAGAGUGGAAUUCCUGGUGUAGCGGUGAAAUGCGUAGAUAUCAGGAGGAACACCGGUGGUGUAGACGGCUCUCUGGACCGUAACUGACGCUGAGGCACGAAAGCGUGGGUAGCAAACAGG